UCGAGAAUCUUUCGCAAUGGGCGCAAGCCUGACGAAGCGACGCCGUGUGAGCGAAGAAGGCCUUCGGGUUGUAAAGCUCUUUCGCUAGGGAACAAGAAAGGCGAAUGAAUAAUUCGCCAAUUUGAUGGUACUUGGUAAAGAAGCACCGGCUAACUCCGUGCCAGCAGCUGCGGUAAUACGGAGGGUGCAAGCAUUGAUCGGAAUUACUGGGCGUAAAGGGCGCGUAGGCGGUUGAGAAAGUCAGAUGUGAAAUUCCGGGGCUCAACCCCGGAGCUGCGUUUGAAACUUCUCGGCUAGAGUUCAGUUAGGGAAAACGGAAUUCCACGUGUAGCGGUGAAAUGCGUAGAUAUGUGGAAGAACACCGGUGGUGAAGACGGUUUUCUGGGCUGAUACUGACGCUGAGGCGCGAAAGCAAGGGAAGCAAACAGG
rnacentral:rRNA from 1 species